rnacentral:lncRNA from 1 species
AUCCCACCUGCAGUGGUGCCUGCAUUCUAGCCCCGCAGCAGCACCUGCAUCCCACCUACAGCAGUAUCUACUCUCUGCAUCCCACCUGGAAGUGAAGCACAUCCCUGUUCUUGGGCUGGGGAGUGCUAAUUAGCGAGCAGAACCAAUGACAACAGUACUGCAUGAACUGCUGAACUCAAAUGUUUCCCCUGUCCAGGGUUUACAGGGGGGUGAUCGCAGCUGGUCUGUAAAUGUAGGCUUGGGAAGUGCUUCAGAAGCAGACCAGCCAUCCCCACAGCUGGAGCAGUUUUUAGUCCUGCUGGAUGUCACCCCAUAAAGUCUCCCCGGUGCUCUGCUGGCUUUCCCUUCCUGCGGUGUGUGUCCAGCAGCAACAGCUGGGAAGACAAGCAAUGGUGAGGGAAGGUAGAGAACUACCAUUCCAUCCUGGGCAUCCCCACUGGGCAGGCAGCUCCCCAGGAGCAGCAGCCGCCCACUCCAGGUCUUCAGUGCAAACCUGCCCGCAAGCUGCUGUUGGAGGAACAUCCAGGACAGCACUUGGGAAGGUGGGGGAACAAGACAGCCUCCUGUGCUGUCUGGGAAGAGUGAUGGCUCCAGGACCACGGCUGAUGGAGGAUGAAGGUAUGCAGCAGGUAUUGCUCCUGUCUCAGUCUGGCUCUGUCUCCUGUUUUUCCUUCUUUUCUACUACCUCCGUUUGAUUUAUCAAUCGCUUUCCAUUUCAGGUUUGCUGUUUUCUGGUUGGAGUAUUUUUAAUAGUCUGCAUUAUUAAAUGGAAAGCAAACUACAGGUAUGGCCAUUAAUUCUGCUGGGGAAAGGACAGCCUGCCUUCUUCAAGCAUCCAGACCUGCUUCACAAUAUGUGAGGUAAAAAUAGAAAGCAGAGUACUAAAACAAAGAGGGAGUAAAGAUUAACACAGGGGACUUGGCAGCCUAAAUAU